CCUACGGGUGGCAGCAGUGGGGAAUAUUGCACAAUGGGCGCAAGCCUGAUGCAGCCAUGCCGCGUGUGUGAAGAAGGCCUUCGGGUUGUAAAGCACUUUCAGCGGGGAGGAAGGCGUUAAGGUUAAUAACCUUGGCGAUUGACGUUACCCGCAGAAGAAGCACCGGCUAACUCCGUGCCAGCGGCCGCGGUAAUACGGAGGGUGCAAGCGUUAAUCGGAAUUACUGGGCGUAAAGCGCACGCAGGCGGUCGGUCAAGUCGGACGUGAAAUCCCCGGGCUCAACCUGGGAACUGCAUUCGAAACUGGCAGGCUAGAGUCUUGUAGAGGGGGGUAGAAUUCCAGGUGUAGCGGUGAAAUGCGUAGAGAUCUGGAGGAAUACCGGUGGCGAAGGCGGCCCCCUGGACAAAGACUGACGCUCAGGUGCGAAAGCGUGGGGAGCAAACAGGAUUAGAUACCCGGGUAGUC
rnacentral:rRNA from 1 species